rnacentral:lncRNA from 1 species
CUAACACUGUGGCAUGUCCCCUUUCUUCUACACUCACUACAGACCUCUUUUCUCUGUCUCAGACUAUAUACCAGGAACUUCUGCCUGCUAGUAAGAAGGUAAGGAGACAAGUGGACCAGCGAGUGCUAGGGGACAGUCUUUUGAAAGAAUGGAGUGAGCGCAUCAUUAGAUGCAUUUAUGUCAAGCUCAAGGUGCUGCCUGCAUAGUAUGCCCUUAGUUGGAC